AUUGAACGCUGGCGGCAGGCUUAACACAUGCAAGUCGAGCGGGGUGAUGGUGCUUGCACUAUCACUUAGCGGCGGACGGGUGAGUAAUGCUUAGGAAUCUGCCUAUUAGUGGGGGACAACAUCUCGAAAGCCGGGCUAAUGCCGCAUAAGAUCUUCGGAUGAAAGCGGGGGAUCGUAAGACCUCGCGCCGAUGGAUGAGCCCAUGUCGGAUUAGCUAGUUGGUGAGGUAACGGCUCACCAAGGCGACGAUCCGUAGCUGGUCUGAGAGGACGGCCAGCCACACUGGGACUGAGACACGGCCCAGACUCCUACGGGAGGCAGCAGUGGGGAAUAUUGGACAAUGGGCGAAAGCCUGAUCCAGCGACGCCGCGUGUGUGAAGAAGGCCUGCGGGUUGUAAAGCACUUUCGAUGGGAACGAAAUGUGUCGGGCUAAUACCCCGGCAAGCUGACGUUACUCAAUGAAGAAGCACCGCCUAACUCUGUGCCAGCCGCCGCAGUAA
rnacentral:rRNA from 1 species